rnacentral:rRNA from 1 species
CAGGCGAUGAAGGACGUAGUAGCUUGCGAAAAGCUGCGGGGAGCUGGCAAACGAGCUUUGAUCCGCAGAUGUCCGAAUGGGGAAACCCGGCCCGUAUGGGUCAUCCCUUGCUGAAUACAUAGGCAAGGGAGGCGAACGCAGUGAACUGAAACAUCUAA